CCUACGGGAGGCAGCAGUAGGGAAUCUUCCACAAUGGGCGAAAGCCUGAUGGAGCAACGCCGCGUGGGUGAAGAAGGUCUUCGGAUCGUAAAACCCUGUUGUUAGAGAAGAAAGUGCGUGCGAGUAACUGUUCACGUUUCGACGGUAUCUAACCAGAAAGCCACGGCUAACUACGUGCCAGCAGCCGCGGUAAUACGUAGGGGGCACGCGUUAGCCGGAUUUAUUGGGCGUAAAGGGAACGCAGGCGGUCUUUUAAGUCUGAUGUGAAAGCCUUCGGCUUAACCGGAGUAGUGCAUUGGAAACUGGGAGACUGGAGUGCAGCAGCGGAGAGUGGAACUCCAUGUGUAGCGGUGAAAUGCGUAGAUAUAUGGAAGAACACCAGUGGCGAAGGCGGCUCUCUGGUCUGUAACUGACGCUGAGGUUCGAAAGCGUGGGUAGCAAACAGGAUUAGAUACCCGAGUAGUC
rnacentral:rRNA from 1 species